GCAUGGAGCUGCUACUGUCUUGCCUUCAAGAAACCUACAGCCAAUAACAACAGGAGACUCCCUGAGAAGAAUGAAAAGAGCAGUGAACUUGGAAUAAGACAGAUUCAUCUACUGGACGCACUUUUUGGGGGCAGUAAGAACAACUAUUUCAUCAGACUACCCUGGUGUGGGAGCAACACUCCUCUGCUAGUUUCUUCUCUAUUCCUCAGGAGCCUGAGGAGCUUUUGGAAACAGCAUCCCUGAUUCAGCCACUGAAAUCCUUAGUCACAUGGAGUACACCUGGCAGCAGGAAGCAACCGCUGCAGCUUCCACCGCUGCAGCAUUUGGCAUUCUGUACCGAACCAAUAAGGAGCAGGCACAAGAAGAAAUAAACUAUACCAG
ensembl:lncRNA